GACGAACGCUGGCGGCGUGCUUAACACAUGCAAGUCGAACGGAAAGGCCCUGCUUUUGUGGGGUGCUCGAGUGGCGAACGGGUGAGUAACACGUGAGUAACCUGCCCUUGACUUUGGGAUAACUUCAGGAAACUGGGGCUAAUACCGGAUAGGAGCUCCUGCUGCAUGGUGGGGGUUGGAAAGUUUCGGCGGUUGGGGAUGGACUCGCGGCUUAUCAGCUUGUUGGUGGGGUAGUGGCUUACCAAGGCUUUGACGGGUAGCCGGCCUGAGAGGGUGAACGGCCACAUUGGGACUGAGAUACGGCCCAGACUCCUACGGGAGGCAGCAGUGGGGAAUAUUGCCCAAUGGGCGGAAGCCUGAUGCAGCAACGCCGCGUGCGGGAUGACGGCCUUCGGGUUGUAAACCGCUUUCGCCUGUGACGAAGCGUGAGUGACGGUAAUGGGUAAAGAAGCACCGGCUAACUACGUG
rnacentral:rRNA from 1 species